UACGAAGGGGGCUAGCGUUGCUCGGAAUCACUAGGGCGUAAAGCGCACGUUAGGCGGCUUCUUAAGUCAGGGGUGAAAUCCUGGAGCUCAACUCCAGAACUGCCUUUGAUACUGAGGAAGCUUGAGUUCCGGGAGAGGUGAGUGGAACUGCGAGUGUAGAGGUGAAAUUCGUAGAUAUUCGCAAGAACACCAGUGGCGAAGGCGGCUCUCUGGACAGGUACUGACGCUGAGACGCGAAAGCGUGGGUAGCAAACAGG
rnacentral:rRNA from 1 species